AUUGAACGCUGGCGGCAUGCCUAACACAUGCAAGUCGAACGGCAGCACGAGGGGCUUGCUCCUUGGUGGCGAGUGGCGGACGGGUGAGUAAUGCAUAGGAAUUUGCCUAGUAGUGGGGGACAACUCGAGGAAACUCGAGCUAAUACCGCAUAAGCCCUACGGGGGAAAGCGUGGGAUCUUCGGACCUCGCGCUAUUAGAUAAGCCUAUGUCCGAUUAGCUAGUUGGUAGGGUAAAGGCCUACCAAGGCGACGAUCGGUAGCUGGUCUGAGAGGAUGAUCAGCCACACUGGGACUGAGACACGGCCCAGACUCCUGCGGGAGGCAGCAGUGGGGAAUAUUGGACAAUGGGCGAAAGCCUGAUCCAGCAAUGCCGCGUGUGUGAAGAAGGCCUGCGGGUUGUAAAGCACUUUCAAUAGUGAAGAAAAGUUAGCGGAUGGGCUAAUACCCUGUUCGGAUGACGGUACCACCAGAAGAAGCACCGGCUAAC
rnacentral:rRNA from 1 species